rnacentral:rRNA from 1 species
CUAAGUUUGAUGGCGACCGGCGCACGGGUGAGUAACACGUAUCCAACCUGCCGAUGACUCGGGGAUAGCCUUUCGAAAGAAAGAUUAAUACCCGAUGGCAUAGUUCUUCCGCAUGGUAGAACAAUUAAAGAAUUUCGGUCAUCGAUGGGGAUGCGUUCCAUUAGGUUGUUGGCGGGGUAACGGCCCACCAAGCCUACGAUGGAUAGGGGUUCUGAGAGGAAGGUCCCCCACAUUGGAACUGAGACACGGUCCAAACUCCUACGGGAGGCAGCAUG